rnacentral:lncRNA from 7 species
AAAGUGAGCAGUGUGGAGCUGGGGCAGCUGGAGGUAUGCAGGGCUGUGACUGUAGUGUUUUUACGAGCCCUUCUCGUGGAUCCCUGGCACUGGAACACCGUCUGCCCCUCACCUGUGCUCUGCUGCCUGCCACACUGGGGCUGCUUUCCCCUCUGUGCCUCAUCCCCAGGCAGCAGCAGACUGCCUUUCCAGCACAGACCAUGCUGCCCUUCACUAUUUCCUGCUAGCACAAGCCUGGAAGUUCCCCUAUUGGUGCCAGCAAACUGCUUUGUACUCCGUAGGUGGGAAAAUAUCUGUGAGACGGAUGAACACUUUGGAGAAAAAAAAUGGUUGUACAUUUUUUUCUGGUGACAGUGUCAGUAAAAGCAACAGAAACAAACUCCUCUCCCAGUGCAGGGGCUGAGCUCACACUGUCUGACAGUGUCUGCCUGCCUCCCGAGGUGCUGUGUUGUGUGACAGCCAGGAGCUGGGGACAUCUUUGGGACCAAUUGGUGAUGCACAUCCCAGGCUGCCCCAUCCCAGCACUGAUGGAUCCCUGUCACUGUGGAAAGGCACAGUUUGGUACCCAGGGAUGGGAUAGCAGAGCUGAGAGGAGAGCAGCUGUGGUGCGUGGAGAUGGCAGAGAGCAGAAUAUAGCACUGCUCUGCAACAGCUGAAAGGGAGAAUGAAGUUGAUAAGAGAGGAGUGGAGAAGGAAAAAACUGGGAGCAUUUAUUGCACCACGACACGUGACUGUAAGUGCUGGCUUGGGCAGCCUCAGGACUGAGCUUCUUAGGCUCCAAGAGCCUAAAACAAAGGGUGGGAGGAAGAGGAACUUGUGUCUUGAUAAACACGAGGUUGAAAAGGUGGGAGGUCGAGGGAUCCGGGCUCUGGGAGCUUUCUCAAACCGUAAAUUUUCAAUAACAGUACUGAAUCCCCGCCUGCUCUGCUGCUGCCUCCCUUCUCCCUGGGGCGCCCGGACAGCAAAUGCAGCAACAACAAUAACAGAAUUAAGUUUUAUUUGAGUUGAAAUGAACUGUUUCCUGGCUGCUGAAAUGACCCAUUCUUCCUCUUCCCCCCUGAAAAAAAAAAACCCACCAACCCAUGUUCAUUGUAGAUCAAACAAAAUGCUUUGCUCAAAAUGAAACAAAAUGUUUCAAUUCCCAUUUGGGUCAUUUGUAGUGAAAGAAACGAAGGACGAGUGAGCUAGCAGUGUGAUUAAAAGGCUCGGUGUUCACACGCU